rnacentral:pre_miRNA from 15 species
AGCCUGGGCCCAAGACUGCUUCCCGAGGCCACAUGCUUCUUUAUAUCCCCAUAUGGAUUACAUGGCUAUGGAAUGUAAGGAAGUGUGUGGUUACGGCAAGAGCCUCAUCGCUGGACACGU